ACUAGAAAUUAACAACCCCUCUAACCUCAAACAGCACAGACCUAGGGUUUCAUUAAAUAAAAACUCAAACACCAGAUCUGAAACCAAGCCAUGCCGACAGAUGGGUAGAUCGAACCAAGCGAAAAAGGUGGUGCCUUUGUAAGGAUGAGACCUUCUUGAGCAGCAAAUCUGGGUUAAUCAUGUGGACCUUCUUUAUCUUGUUCGUUGUUCCGGAUCGAAGAGAGCGGCCGUGAGUUUGACACCUUAGCCUACGCCAAUCACCACGCCGUCAUCUCUUACUUCUGGGGUGUGGGUUUGCUGGGGUUGGGAGUGGGUUUAUGGGUUUGGUGUUUUUUUUUUUUUGUGGGGAUGGGUUUAUGGGGGCUCGAUUUGUGCAUAGAUUUUCUGGGUUGUGUGAAUUUGAUGACCAGAUAUGUUAGGUGAGGAUGGAGGCGAACCAGUUCUGUUACCUCGACGGCGACGGCGUUAGGCGGCGGAGAAGGCGAAGCAGGUCCAUUCCAUUCCUUCGCUUCCCCUUCCCUUUCCCUGUUCAUACAACGCCUCCGAUCUCGUAACCAUGACCAAGAGAACAAAGAAGGCUGGCAUCGUUGGAAAAUACAUUGUGUAUUUGCUUUUUUUGUUGUUGUUAGCUCAUGCUGAUUAUUGAUGUAUAUAAGCUUGAGUUUCUAGAGGAAUGAUUGUUCCAUUUCAUUCUUAUUGAUAAGUAUUGCUAGAACAUUUUUUGUGUACGCACUCUGAUAAAAGAUGUUAACUAUCCCCCUUCUGCAUUCUUUGAUGAAAUGAACAGAUUUUAGUCUUUUA